GAACAGAAGCAGAACACCGACUGGCCCAACUUUCCAUUAUCUAAUUUGUCACUACUGGCUGGGAGUGGAGGUUCGGUACCCUUUGAGUGACAACCAGGAGAACUUCAGUGGUGCAUGACCACAGCCAGCAACUCUCCCAUGCGGCCCCAGAUCACUCCCAGAUCUUACUGACAACAUCCUGGCAAGAGAGCCACUGCAAGCUUGGUUCCUGUGGGCGGGGCAUGGUUAAUGGGCUGCCCACCCGGUCCUGCCAACACCACCAGGAUCUUGAAUCAUUUGCCUAGGAGACAAGCCACCACCAGACCUAUCUGUGAGGGAUUGUCCUAAGGGUGAUACUGUUCUCUGGACCAGAUCUGUGACUGUAUAUAAAAGGGAAAGUGAGCUAAGCACAUAACGUUCAUUGCUCUCUGCUUCUUCAAGAUCAGCUAUACUCCUGAACUGUGAAUCAGAAUAAAGCCUUUCUCCCUU
rnacentral:sRNA from 1 species